CCCUCCCUCUUUCUUCAUGCCUAACACAUGCAAGUCGAACGAGACCUUCGGGUCUAGUGGCGCACGGGUGCGUAACGCGUGGGAACCUGCCCGUAGGUUCGGAAUAACUCCCCGAAAGGGGUGCUAAUACCGGAUAAUGUCUUCGGACCAAAGAUUUAUCGCCUUUGGAUGGGCCCGCGUUGGAUUAGCUAGUUGGUAGGGUAAAAGCCUACCAAGGCGAGGAUCCAUAGCUGGUCUGAGAGGAUGAUCAGCCACACUGGGACUGAGACACGGCCCAGACUCCUACGGGAGGCAGCAGUGGGGAAUAGUGGACAAUGGGCGAAAGCCUGAUCCAGCAAGGCCGCGUGAGUGAUGAAGGCCUUAGGGUUGUAAAGCUCUUUUACCCGGGAUGAUAAUGACAGUACCGGGAGAAUAAGCACCGGCUAACUCCGUG
rnacentral:rRNA from 1 species